AAAUUAUCUUUUUUUACUCACUUCACACUUAUAAGAACACAUCACAAUUAUUCUUCCAGAUGUAGAAGAAGAAUUUCUGGGAUUUAGUGGAAUUUAGAAGAACAUGUGCCCCAAAGGAAAUAUUAGAAAUUGAGCCUGAAAUGAUCCAUAAGCACUUCCAAUGCAUGUUGGUGGUGAACCUUUUUCAGGACCUUGUGGGAAUGGAUGACAAAUGUUGGCAAAACUUGGGUCAGAAAGAUUACCAGUGUAGACAUAGCUUCAGUAAGAGCUAUGAGUAAAUUGAUGAAAACAAGAUAAAGUAACUUGCCCAGGGUCACACACCUAAUAAGAGAUUGACUUUCUGAGGUGUUAGAAUGACAACUGAAGUUGGAUCCAGAAGAGCUUUGAUUUUAAUUCCUGGCUCAAGAUUUUCUCAGUUUUGUGACCCUGGGUAAGUAAUUUAAAUGUCCUAAAUUCCAAUUCACUCUUCUGUAAAAUGGUAAUAAUAAUACAUAGAAUACGUACCAUGACCAUUUCUUAUUAAUAGAAAAUGAAAUAAUAUUCAUAAAGAUUUUUGUAGGCUUUAAUAAAUUAAGUUGGUUUGUCUUAUUUUUUGAACUU
rnacentral:lncRNA from 1 species